rnacentral:rRNA from 1 species
GGCAGCAGCCGCGGUAACACCGGCGGCCCGAGUGGUGAUCGUGAUUAUUGGGUCUAAAGGGUCCGUAGCCGGUUGGUCAGUCCUCCGGGAAAUCUGAUAGCUCAACUAUUAGGCUUUCGGGGGAUACUGCCAGACUUGGAACCGGGAGAGGUAAGAGGUACUACAGGGGUAGGAGUGAAAUCUUGUAAUCCCUGUGGGACCACCUGUGGCGAAGGCGUCUUACCAGAACGGGUUCGACGGUGAGGGACGAAAGCUGGGGGCACGAACCGGAUUAGAUACCCGGGUAGUCCCAGCCGUAAACGAUGCUCGCUAGGUGUCAGGCAUGGCGCGACCGUGUCUGGUGCCGCAGGGAAGCCGUGAAGCGAGCCACCUGGGAAGUACGGCCGCAAGGCUGAAACUUAAAGGAAUUGGCGGGGGAGCACAACAACGGGUGGAACGCCUGCGGUUUAAUUGGACUCAACGCCGGACAACUCGACCGGGGGCGACAGCAAUAUGUAGGCCAAGCUGAAGACUUUGCCUGAAUCGCUGAGGGGAGGUGCAUGG